rnacentral:lncRNA from 1 species
CUCAAAGCCUCCCUCUUCAGAGGAAGUUCCAUCGAACCUCCAUAAAUUGUCACACUCGUUCUCAUCAUUGAAAGAAUCACUAUAGCAAUCCUUUGUGUGAUAGUCACCUGACUCAGCCUCUUCCCUGAAAUACUUUAAAAAAUUCCAUGCAUUCUUACCCAUUUCUCUGAAAUACUACCUAAUCAUCAAACUGACAAUGAUGCACACAGUAACUC